UGUAGAGAGCACGUAUUCCUUGGGAGGCCAGGAAUAGUGCAUAAGUGAAAGCUACUGCCUCCAAAUGGUAAGAAACAAAAGUGAGUGCCAUACCUAUGUUUUUUUUUUUCACCUAAAACCACGCAUAUUUUAGUAAACCUCUAGAGAGCUCAUUGCUAUAGAAGAACCCAAACCCUUGCCACAACAUUGUCUGGACCAGGUUUUCGCACGUAUGUUGGCACAAAACUCUGUACUUAAGAACAGUUGUACUUGAAACAAUCUUUGCAUCUUUUAUUACAGAUCUUAGGACUUGUUUACUUAAGUCUCACCAUAUGGGAAAGUCAAAAUACUGUGCACGUGUAUUUACUGUGCACGUGUUAUUACAUUUGCUCCUUUAACUCCAUUUCCCUUAUGGCUUCACUAGCUGCAGUUCUGCUAGCAGUUUGUGGGUAUUUUUCAGUAUGAUGCAGUAUAUUUGAUCAUCAUUUUAAAAAUUUAUUUUAAAAUAAAAAUGUUCUAAGUGUCAACGUGCCGAACCCUAUGUACUGGUGCAAUUACAUUUAUAUAGGAUACGCAGUAUGUUCUGGUAUGCUUUGUGCUUUUUCUUUCUCAGGUAAAGUAGAUCAGCUCCUUCAGCAGGUGGGAAAUACAAGGGGACCAGAAGAGAUACCAGGAUUUUUCACAGACCCUGUGGUAGCCUCCAGAUAUUUCUAAAUAGUGACAUAAAUAUUUUACUGGAAAUCCUUCAAGCUUUCUUUCAGAGAAUAUUUCUCCCGGCCAAAAUACCUCAGAUUAAAGGUGGAGGGAUCCUGUCCUCUGUCUCUGUUGUAGCCUUGCACAGUGGUCCUGCAGUUAUUUGCUGACCCUGCUGGUUAGAAACCCUGCACUGCUCAGGAAUGGGGUGCUGCUUUGCAGCUGGCUUAGUCUUAGAAUUUCUGCCUUAAUUUUGAUUGAUUUUUUUUCCAAAUAUCUCCCCUUUUCCUCUCCAAAGUUACAUUGCUGAUCUAGAAUAACUUGCUUUCUUAACUUUUCUUUUUUCCCUUCUGUACUCAUUUCCAUGCCUGUUGGAUGCGUCCAUUGACACAGGUCUGCCUUACAGCCCUCAGAACUGGAUCCAAAGUACAAGCCUUUACUCCGGGAACCAUUGCCAAGGAGAUGAUUAUUCAUUAACGAUAUAAUCUUUAACCUGGAAGCCCUGUGCUCUGAGCACAGUCUGUGAAGCAACAAGGCCCUGGGGACAACCACACGUGUGUUUGAAUCCCAGUGCUGCAGGGAGGUGAGGGGUGCUGACACCAGGCUUUGAAUGGGCUGAGUGGUUUAAAUGAAAAUAGAAGCGUUUUUCCCAGGUUUACCAAAUUAGAAUCAAAACUUCAGCUCUGAAUACUGGGAGAAAGGAAACCCCAUUCUGUCAUCACUGAAGGUGUGAUUGCUGUGUGAAGAGCCCUGUAAUCCAGGAACAACUUGUGAAUGUGGGAGAGGAAAGAACCACCCAACCACCCAUGCUGUACUUACAUGACAUUUCUUCGAGAAGUGAAAGAUAUUAAGAAGAAAUAUCUACUGAAUAAAGAAAUAAAUUGUAUGGAAUGCAGCAAAGCUUCAUAGCUCACCCUUUUCAAGGGGCGGGGAGGAUUAGGAAGCAACGCUUCUGCAGCACCCAAACUGUUCCGCAUGCUUUGAUUUAAAUCUUCUGGAAAGAGAACGGGCAAAAAAAAAAAAAAUCUGCAAGAUAUUGUGGGUUAGGCUGUCCCUGCUCUGAUAAUAGUACUGUGGCACAGAGCUUUCAACGUCAAUCCUGCCUUCUCUUCAUCCCUUGUCUGGAGGAUUCGCACUGGCCUGUGCUCCUCAGGAGCUUGGAGGGGGGAUUUCAGACAAGUGCUGUCCUUAUGCUGCCGUCCACAGUGGUUUUUUGGGUAACAUCUAAAAGAGGACCUUGCUGACAUGUUAACUUGAUGAAAACCCUGAGACGAGUUUCCCAGGCAACAAGAAAAUGGUUGUGCUGAUUUCCACUCACUAAAGGCAAACCAGUUAUUUAAUGGAUGACUAAAAUGGAACAAAUAUUUUAAAUUCUUAAAUACCACUGAGAAGAAACUAAUUAUGUAAAGUAAAAAGGCAAAUUAGCAUAAAAUUUAGAAAAGAGGAUAUUUACAUUUUGUAUCAGAAACAUAGUUGCAGGCCGGCAUAUAGGGCUGUGACUAAAACUGAUCACGAGUCAGCACUUCCACUGCAGGGGAAGCUGCAGAGCUUGAAAUUCUGUUGUAGUGCAAUUAACAGAUAUUUUUUUUUUUUCUAUUUCUGCGUUGGCAGGAAAAUACCAGAGACACUCAACUCAUUUCAUUUUGAAAACUGUGAAGGAAGAUGGUAGUUGUAGGUACCAGGAUUGGGCUCUCAUUGAAAUACAGUCCCAGCGUUUUUUGGCUGGGGGUUUCCCACUUGUCCUGCAAUGCCUGUGGAAACCAGGGCACAGGGGCAAUGUAAAGUUGGAGCUGGAGAUGCUGGGGGCUGCUGCUGCCUCUGCUCAGGAUCAGCCCACAGCACAUGGCUGCCUCAGCGCCGCGGGCCCAGGAAGCCCCAGAUGCAAAUGUGUCUGUGUUGCACAGCUUGGAUUCUGGGCACUCAGAGAAGCCUGCAGUCCCCCAGCUUUGCAGGUGAACUGGUGGCAAGACUGAGUUUGGACUGCAGUUCAUCCAAGGUUCAUCAAACCAGGUGCAUUUUUGCAAAGUGGAUUGAUUUCGACAGAUAAACCGCUUCUGGACUAAAAAAGAAAAACAAGAUAAAGAAAUUGCUGGAGAACUCUCAGCUGGGUCCUUGCCUGUGGUUUUAUUUGCUGAAAACAGAGGAGACUGAAAGAGUUCAGAUCACCAACACAGAGAAUGUGUUGACUGAAGAGACAUCGGUGGACUAACAUCAAGAUAUUUCAACCAGUCUCCAGAAGCAGAUGUACAUAUCUUUCACUAAGGCCUGCUGGUGUCACCAUUCAAGCUAUUUAUGCAGCCCAUCCAUUCCUUCCACAGCACAGUGCUGCACUGCCCCAUGCCUACAACAUGGCGGAAGUGCCUGCCCUGCACCCACAACAUGGCGGCAGCAGUUUCCCUGCACCCACAGCAUGGCGGCAGUGGCUGCCCUGCACCCAUAACAUGGCAACAGUGACUGCCCUGCACCCACAGCAUGGCGGCCGUGGCU